AAAAUACAAAAAUUAGUCAGGAGUGGUGGUGCCCACCUAUAAUCCCAGCUACUCAGGAGGCUGAGGCAGGAGAAUCGCUUGAACGCGGGAGGCAGAGGUUGCAGUGAGCCGAGAUCAUGCCGCUGCACUCCAGCCCUGGUGACAGACCGAGACUGUUCUUUGAUCCAGGAUCCAGAUGAAGCCCACAUGUUGAAAUUGGUUGAUGUGUCUCUAAGUCUCCCUUAAAUUUCUCCUCCACCAAUUUCUUUUCUGUUCCUGCAUUUUCUUCUCUGAUCACACGGGCUUUUCUUCCAUAAUAGGAAGAGACAUGGAGGUGCCCAAGCCGGCUCUGGAUAAAGGCCUGUCCUCCUCUCUCCCCACAGGACCGGGACUUUGUAGCCAAGCAGAAGGAGGACCUGGAGCUGGCCAUGAAGAGGCUCACCACCGACAACAGGCGGGAGAUCUGUGACAAGGAGCGGGAGUGCCUCAUGAAGAAGCAGGAGCUCCUUCGAGACCGGGAAGCAGCCCUGUGGGAGAUGGAAGAGCACCAGCUGCAGGAGAGGCACCAGCUGGUGAAGCAGCAGCUCAAAGACCAGUACUUCCUCCAGCGGCACGAGCUGCUGCGCAAGCAUGAGAAGGAGCGGGAGCAGAUGCAGCGCUACAACCAGCGCAUGACAGAGCAGCUGAAGGUGC
rnacentral:sRNA from 1 species